CCCUAUUUUUCUCAAGGUUUAAUUUUUUUAUUUCAUACCGCCCUGGUUCCAGAAAUGGCAAGGCGGAUGCCUUGUCUAGGAUAGCUGACCCCCUCCAUACUACAGUAACCAAGGCCACCAUCUUGCCAGAGAGCAGAUUUUUAGGAGUUACCUUUCCUUCUGAUCUAAUGUCUCGCAUUAAAAAGGGCUACUCUAAAGAUCCAGUUUUUCGUGAUCCUCCUCGUGAUCUUCAUAUGACCAUGCUUAAUGGGUUUUGGAUUUUUCAACAACGUCUGUUUGUUCCAGAAUCAGUACGACUGGACGUUUUACGCCUCUACCAUGACUCUAAACCAGCAGGUCAUCCAGGAAUCCGAAAGACACAAGAACUACUUACCCGAUCCUUUUGGUGGCCUAAAUAUUAUGAGGGUGUUAAGAAGUAUGUGUCCUCUUGUGAUGUAUGUGCCAGACAUAAGACUCCUCGCUCAUCCCCUGUUGGCUUGCUUCAGCCUCUUCCGAUUCCUCAUCGCCCCUGGGGAUCUAUAUCCAUGGACU